UUCAGCAUUCAGUUCCGAACACUUUAAAAAGCUUCAUCAAAUUCAGAUGAAUAGUUCAUCCAAAAAUAAACCAAAAAUAUAUCAUGCACAUCUGGUUCUGGAAAUUUCUGAAGGUUUUCCAUAAUAACAUCAUUUUCCUCUUCAAUUGGUAUAAGAAGCCACAUUCACAAAUGCACAAUUCAAUGUACAUGUACAGUACAAUGGCUGAAUAUGCAUUUAAUGAAAUGACUGCCAUGGUCAUAUGCUAUGGUGCUGCUACUGUGAAUGUUGCUAUUGCAGCUCGACUUUAUCAGGAAAGAUAUCCCUUAACAUGAAUACUUAGAUCUAUAUGUCAAUU
rnacentral:lncRNA from 1 species